UUGCCGCUUUACGCCUGUCAAUUGUAACUGUUUUCUUCUUACAAGCUUUACAAGCCCAAAGCAAACAUCGUCGUGGCUGGUGUCCAUCAGUGGACGGCGCCAGCACAUGAGGAAUGUGCUCUUCAGCAUCGGUCAUAGUUAGCGACUCUUUACCGUGCAGCGCAUCAUCUAACACUUCUUCUUUGAUUCGACGUUCCGUCGAUCCCCCAGCACCUAAAUGCUGCUGCGCCUGUUGCUGCUGCUGCUGUUGCUGUUGUUGUUGUUGCUGCUGCUGUUGCUGUUGCUGCGCUUGUUGCUGUUGGCCAUACUGUUGAGAUGAGCUAGAGCCGGUCGAAGAUUUUUUCGAAGCGGCAGGCUCGACUGCUUCCAGGCUUCCAGUAAGCUGGCUGGCACAGCUGCGUACUCUUGAGCUUUUUGGCUUCCAGCUUGAACUGAGCUAGUGAACGAAGCCAAAUCUGGAUAAAAUGUAGGAGGUCCAGUCGAAUAUGGAUUGUAAUACGGAUAGCGAUGAUAAAGCGAAGUUGCCUCAUAUGGAUUGGGAGUUAUUGUUGCGUAGUCAGCAGCAGCGGUUACAGCUGUUUGAUUAGGAAAAGCAGCAGUAAUAUUUCCUGGGGCAGGACCCAAAUUAGCAAACUCUGUAGACGUAGUCAAACGUGAUGUCUGAGUUAAAUUCGAAGAAUAUCCAUAAAUCGGAUCAUACUGACACCCAGCCAUAUCUGUGUUCAUCUUGCUUGUCGAGAAGUAGUUUGUACCUCUCGUAAAUAAAUGCAGAAACUUAAAGGAAUUGACGGAAGGGCACCACCAGGAGUGGAGCCUGCGGCUUAAUUUGACGCAACACGGGAAAACUCACCCGGCCCGGACACUGGAAGGAUUGACAGAUUGACAGCUCUUUCUUGAUUCAGUGGGUAGUGGUGCAUGGCCGUUCUUAGUUGGUGGAGCGAUUUGUCUGGUUAAUUCCGAUAACGAACGAGACUCUACCCUAUUAAAUAGUGACAGUAUUGUAUUUUUUGUGCUGAUCACUUCUUAGAGGGACUGGCAAAUUGAAAGCUGCACGAAAAAGAGCAAUAACAGGUCUGUGAUGCCCUUCGAUGUCCGGGGCUGCACGCGCGCUACAAUGAAAGCGUCAACGUGAGUUACGUCCUUACCUGAAAAGGUUUGGCAAUCGAAUGAAACGUUUUCUUGAAUGGAAUAGGGAAUUGCAAUUGUUUCCCUUGAACGAGGAAUUCCCAGUAAGCGUGAGUCAUUAGCUCGCGUUGAUUACGUCCCUGCCCUUUGUACACACCGCCCGUCGCUACUACCGAUUGGAUGAUUUAGUGAGGUGUUUUGACUGGCGCCAGUAGUCGGAUAUGUAUUCGGCUUCGCGCCGGGAAAUUUCCCAAACCAAAUCAUCUAGAGGAAGUAAAAGUCGUAACAAGGUUUCCGUAGGUGAACCUGCGGAAG
rnacentral:rRNA from 1 species